rnacentral:rRNA from 1 species
AACGUAGGGCGCGAGCGUUGUCCGGAUUUAUUGGGCGUAAAGAGCUCGUAGGCGGCUUGUCGCGUCGUCCGUGAAAACUUGGGGCUCAACCCCAAGCUUGCGGUCGAUACGGGCAGGCUCGAGUUCGGUAGGGGAGACUGGAAUUCCUGGUGUAGCGGUGAAGUGCGCAGAUAUCAGGAGGAACACCGGUGGCGAAGGCGGGUCUCUGGGCCGAUACUGACGCUGAGGAGCGAAAGCGUGGGGAGCGAACAGG